ACGGAAGGCAGCAGUGGGGAAUAUUGCACAAUGGGGGAAACCCUGAUGCAGCGACGCCGCGUGAGUGAAGAAGUAUUUCGGUAUGUAAAGCUCUAUCAGCAGGGAAGAAAAUGACGGUACCUGACCAAGAAGCCCCGGCUAACUACGUGCCAGCAGCCGCGGUAAUACGUAGGGGGCAAGCGUUAUCCGGAUUUACUGGGUGUAAAGGGAGCGUAGACGGUACUGCAAGUCAGAAGUGAAAGCCCGGGGCUCAACCGCGGGACUGCUUUUGAAACUGCAGCACUGGAGUGCAGGAGAGGUAAGUGGAAUUCCUAGUGUAGCGGUGAAAUGCGUAGAUAUUAGGAGGAACACCAGUGGCGAAGGCGGCUUACUGGACUGUAACUGACGUUGAGGCUCGAAAGCGUGGGGAGCAAACAGGAUUAGAUACCCUGGUA
rnacentral:rRNA from 1 species